rnacentral:rRNA from 1 species
UGAGGAAUAUUGGUCAAUGGGCGGGAGCCUGAACCAGCCAAGCCGCGUGAGGGAGGAAGGCCCUAUGGGUCGUAAACCUCUUUUGUCAGGGAACAAAAGCGAGUAUGUAUACUAGUCUGAGUGUACCUGAAAGAAAAACGCAUCGGCUAACUCCGUGCCAGCAGCCGCGGUAAUACGGAGGAUGCGAGCGUUAUCCGGAUUUAUUGGGUUUAAAGGGUGCGUAGGCGGCGGUGCAAGUCAGCGGUAAAAGCCCGGGGCUACAACCCCGGCGAGCCGUUGAAACCGCAGUGCUAGAGAAGGCGAGAGGUACGCGGAAUGCGCAGUGUAGCGGUGAAAUGCUUAGAUAUUGCGCAGAACUCCGAUUGCGAAGGCAGCGUACUGGCGCCUGACUGACGCUGAGGCACGAAAGCGUGGGGAUCGAACAGGAUUAGAUACC